rnacentral:rRNA from 1 species
UACGUAGGGUGCAAGCGUUAAUCGGAAUUACUGGGCGUAAAGCGUGCGCAGGCGGUUCGUUGUGUCGGUGGUGAAAGCCCCGGGCUUAACCUGGGAAUGGCCAUGGAAACUGGCGAACUGGAGUGUGGCAGAGGGGGGUGGAAUUCCGCGUGUAGCAGUGAAAUGCGUAGAGAUGCGGAGGAACACCGAUGGCGAAGGCAGCCCCCUGGGCCAACACUGACGCUCAGGCACGAAAGCGUGGGGAGCAAACAGG